rnacentral:rRNA from 1 species
CCUACGGGCGGCAGCAGUGAGGAAUAUUGGUCAAUGGACGGAAGCCUGAACCAGCCAUGCAGCGUGCAGGAAGACGGCUCUAUGAGUUGUAAACUGCUUUUGUACAAGGGUAAACCUGAAUACGUGUAUUCAGCUGAAAGUACUGUACGAAUAAGGAUCGGCUAACUCCGUGCCAGCAGCCGCGGUAAUACGGAGGAUCCAAGCGUUAUCCGGAUUUAUUGGGUUUAAAGGGUGCGUAGGCGGAUUGAUAAGUUAGAGGUGUAAGGUCCGAGCUUAACUCGGCAACUGCAUCUAAUACUGUUGAUCUAAGGAGUAGUUGCGGUAGGCGGUAUGUAUGGUGUGGCGGUGAAAUGCUUAGAGAUCAUACAGAACACCGAUUGCGGAGGCAGCUUCCCACUCUAUAUCUGACGUUG